GAUGAACGCUGGCGGCGUGCCUAAUACAUGCAAGUCGAGCGAACAGACGAGGAGCUUGCUCCUCUGACGUUAGCGGCGGACGGGUGAGUAACACGUGGAUAACCUACCUAUAAGACUGGGAUAACUUCGGGAAACCGGAGCUAAUACCGGAUAAUAUAUUGAACCGCAUGGUUCAAUAGUGAAAGACGGUUUUGCUGUCACUUAUAGAUGGAUCCGCGCUGCAUUAGCUAGUUGGUAAGGUAACGGCUUACCAAGGCAACGAUGCGUAGCCGACCUGAGAGGGUGAUCGGCCACACUGGAACUGAGACACGGUCCAGACUCCUACGGGAGGCAGCAGUAGGGAAUCUUCCGCAAUAGGCGAAAGCCUGACGGAGCAACGCCACGUGAGUGAUGAAGGUCUUCGGAUCGUAAAACUCUGUUAUUAGUGAAGAACAAAUGUGUAAGUAACUAUGCACGUCUUGACGGUACCUAAUCAGAAAGCCACGGCUAACUACGUG
rnacentral:rRNA from 1 species